rnacentral:rRNA from 1 species
CCUACGGGAGGCAGCAGUGGGGAAUAUUGGACAAUGGGCGAAAGCCUGAUCCAGCAAUUCCGCGUGUGUGAAGAAGGCCUUCGGGUUGUAAAGCACUUUAGGUUUGGGAAGAAAAGCUUCGGUGAAUAUCCGGAGUGUUGACGGUACCAACAGAAUAAGCACCGGCUAACUCUGUGCCAGCAGCCGCGGUAAUACAGAGGGUGCAAGCGUUAAUCGGAUUUACUGGGCGUAAAGCGUGCGCAGGUGGUUUCGUAAGUCGGAUGUGAAAGCCCCGGGNUCAACCUGGGAACUGCGUUCGAUACUGCGAGACUAGAGUUUGGUAGAGGGUGGCGGAAUUCCCGGUGUAGCGGUGAAAUGNGUAGAUA